rnacentral:rRNA from 1 species
AUCUGCUACUACACCACCCUGAACAUGCUUGAUCUUGUCUGAACUCAGAAGCUAAGCGAGGUUAGGCCUGUGUAGCACUUAGACAGGAGAGUCUAGUUUUAUUGUGGUAGUUU